GCGCUGUUUACACAUCUGCUUGACUGACAUUCCAUCUUCCGUCCUCUAAGAAAGGGUUUUUUUUAAAUUGAUGAUCAUUUACUUUUUAUUUAAGUUGCACUCGCUCAGCCAAGUUCCAGGGAGGACCAGAGGUUAGGAAUUAGCAGCAGAGGUUGUCAGUCAUCAUUCGGGGACAGUGAAAAUAUUAGGGGUGUGAGGUAAAUGCUAAUUUAAAGGUUUGAGAUUUUCUUUUAUACUCGACUAUUCUAAUUCAGUUUCCCACCUCUUAAAUAAAAAUUUCUCCUUCCAGAAAAGUUGAACGAGAUGGCAGCAUCGAAAACCACCUCUUUGAAAACUAAAUAACACUGAGAAUACGCUGAUCUGAAUACGAUGAACUCACCCCACCUGCCAUCCGCACAGACUUUGGUGGUGCCACCCGAUCAAGUGCCAAAAGUGUGCCAAGAUAGCUGUCACCUCCCCUGUCCCCAGAGUCGCCUGAGCAGAUUUGCUGCGAGCAUCUUAUGAAAACGUGUCCCGCACAAUUGUAAUGAAGUGGUAACAGCUACCGUUUGCAGGAAAGGUGGAUAUAAGCGAGGAUGGGGAUUCAGGUCCCAACCGCCUCAUUAGUGACCGAAUCCUGGACCAGGAGGUAGAAGCUGAUCGCCUUGCAUUAAGCCAACAAGACGCGGAAGCCCCCGAGAAGGCUCUGAGGUGACGGGACAUCCUUGCUGGGGAGCUUUGCGCCGGCUUCUGUGAUGCUGGAGACUGAAUCACCCAGAGCAACUGAAAGAAGCUGCAAAGCCUAAGUGGCCAUAGCCGGUCCCGUCCUUCACACUAGCUGGGCCUCUACACACACGAAGAGGGAGCGAGCACGGAAGGAGGCUUAACAUCUGCCCGCGGAGCUAACGCAGGUAAGGCUCACCUGCACAGACCUGGGCAUUGGCCCGUCUCCCCUGCCGGGCUAGGAAGCAGAAGAAGUGUGUGCAUCUCAUUGUCGCAGAA